AGGGAAUCUUCCGCAAUGGACGAAAGUCUGACGGAGCAACGCCGCGUGAACGAUGAAGGUUUUCGGAUCGUAAAGUUCUGUUGUAAGGGACGAACCGCCGGGAUGACCUCCCGGUCUGACGGUACCUUACGAGAAAGCCCCGGCUAACUACGUGCCAGCAGCCGCGGUAAUACGUAGGGGGCAAGCGUUGUCCGGAAUUAUUGGGCGUAAAGCGCGCGCAGGCGGUUUUCUAAGUUAGGUGUGAAAGCCCACGGCUCAACCGUGGAGGGCCACCUAAAACUGGGAGACUUGAGUGCAGGAGAGGAGAGCGGAAUUCCACGUGUAGCGGUGAAAUGCGUAGAGAUGUGGAGGAACACCCGUGGCGAAGGCGGCUCUCUGGCCUGUAACUGACGCUGAGGCGCGAAAGCGUGGGGAGCAAAC
rnacentral:rRNA from 1 species